ensembl:lncRNA
GUGGCAGGUAGCCUAGUGGUUAGAGUGUAGAGGAGGCAGGUAGCCUAGUGGUUAGAGUGUAGAGGUGGCAGGGUAGCCUAGUGGUUAGAGUGUAGAGGCGGCAGGUAGCCUAGUGGUUAGAGUGUAGAGGCGGCAGGUAGCCUAGUGGUUAGAGUGUAGAGGCAGCAGGUAGCCUAGUGGUUAGAGUGUAGAGGCAGCGUAGCCUAGUGGUUAGAGUGUAGAGGCAGCAGGUAGCCUAGUGGUUAGAGUGUAGAGGUGGCAGGUAGCCUAGUGGUUAGAGUGUAGAGGAGGCAGGUAGCCUAGUGGUUAGAGUGUAGAGGAGGCAGGUAGCCUAGUGGUUAGAGUGUAGAGGUGGCAGGGUAACCUAGUGGUUAGAGUGUAGAGGAGGCAGGUAGCCUAGUGGUUAGAGUGUAGAGGAGGCAGGUAGCCUAGUGGUUAGAGUGUAGAGGAGGCAGGUAGCCUAGUGGUUAGAGUGUAGAGGCGGCAGGUAGCCUAGUGGUUAGAGUGUAGAGGUGGCAGGUAGCCUAGUGGUUAGAGUGUAGAGGAGGCAGGUAGCCUAGUGGUUAGAGUGUAGAGGCGGCAGGUAGCCUAGUGGUUAGAGUGUAGAGGAGGCAGGCAGCCUAGUGGUUAGAGUGCAGAGGAGGCAGGUAGCCUAGUGGUUAGAGUGUAGAGGC